CCGUUACAUCCGUGUGACGUCAUUGCUGAUAGAGCCAAUCCGCUCCGUUUGAGAGACGCUCUUUCAUUUUAGAGUUAUGUCAUGUUAACGUUACUUUAAGAGACCAAUCAUACAAUUAUUCUUAAUAAUAUCUUCAUUAUUCACAAUUGUAUGGAAAGUAGUGCGUUGUCAGGUUUAACUGCGAGCGCGUAAACCCUCUCUCUAACACGCUGGCGCGUGCACUUAGAGCGAGGGCGAAAGCGAGAGAGAGAAAGAGAGAGAACUCAUAAGCCUUGACACCUUUAUAGAAAUCGGUGAUUCUCAAGAAUGAAAAUGCAUUUUUACCGUGGCUUAUUUGUUAGUGGGCUGUAAGGUCUCAUCAGAAACAUCGCUCUGCAUUCUUCUUCUUAUCAUGCUUUAUCAAAUAAUAUUAUACAUAUCCAUCAGAGACUUUAUAAACUUUGGGAUUUAAUAGAGUAACCUCCAGUGAUAUUAUCUUCUCUCUCUUUUUCAGUGUCGAUUGCCGUCUUAUUGUUCAGCUACAUACACCACAACGGCUCUUUUAAGAGCCACAUCUUGAGAACGUCUUUGACUUUCAGCUACAUACACCACAACGGCUCUUUUAAGAGCCACAUCUUGAGAACGUCUUUGACUUU